UACGUAGGGUGCAAGCGUUGUCCGGAAUUAUUGGGCGUAAAGAGCUCGUAGGCGGUCUGUCGCGUCUGCUGUGAAAACUCAGGGCUUAACCCUGAGCUUGCAGUGGGUACGGGCAGACUAGAGUGCGGUAGGGGGAGACUGGAAUUCCUGGUGUAGCGGUGAAAUGCGCAGAUAUCAGGGAGGGAACACCCGGGUGGGCGAAAGGCGACAUCCUGGACCAACACUGA
rnacentral:rRNA from 1 species